rnacentral:rRNA from 1 species
GCAAGUCGAGGGGCAGAAUGGGACUUCGGUCCUGAUGGCUACCGGCGCACGGGUGAGUAACGCGUACACGACCUACCUUUAAGUGGGGGAUAGCCUCGGGAAACUGAGAUUAAUACCCCAUAGUAUUACUAUUAGUCGAAGAUAGUAAUUAAAGUUCCGACGCUUAAAGAUGGGUGUGCGUAUGAUUAGAUAGUUGGUGAGGUAACGGCUCACCAAGUCUACGAUCAUUAGGGGGCGUGAGAGCGUGGCC